rnacentral:lncRNA from 1 species
GCAGUAUCACCUGUUUCCCCUUACUGUAAAAUUUCAUAAUUAGUUUCAUAAAGUUCUAGGAAACAUCACCUAAUGUCGUCAGCCAUUCGAUGCCGAGCACGGCCUCAUAAUCAUCAAGAGGGAGGAGGAAGAAAUAUGCAAUUAUCUCUUGGUCUUGCAGCAACAGUUUCACCCGCGGGCACCUAUGAUCAUACUUCAAAAUUCAUCCGUCGGCGACCUUAACGUCAAACCUACUGCAAUUCUCGAUAGAUAAGGCCAUCCAGAUAGCAACCUUGCUGUUUAUAAAAUUAUUAGUGCUCCCGG